CGCGAAAGUCCUUCGGGAUGAGUAGAGCGGCGCACGGGUGAGUAACACGUGGGUAAUCUGCCUUUAGGCCUGGGAUAACUCGGGGAAACUCGAGCUAAUACCGGAUAAGACCACGCGACGAGAGUUGCGCGGGAAAAGCGGGGGAUCUCUUCGAAGACCUCGCACCAAAAGAUGAGCCCGCGGCUGAUUAGCUAGUUGGUGGGGUAAUGGCCCACCAAGGCAACGAUCAGUAGCUGGUCUGAGAGGAUGAUCAGCCUCACUGGGACUGAGACACGGCCCAGGCUCCUACGGGAGGAAGCAGUGGGGAAUAUUGGACAAUGGGCGCAAGCCUGAUCCAGCCAUGCCGCGUGGGUGAUGAAGGCCCUAGGGUUGUAAAGCCCUUUCGGCGGGGAAGAUAAUGACGGUACCCGCAGAAGAAGCCCCGGCUAACUUCGUGCCAGCCGCCGCAGUAACAC
rnacentral:rRNA from 1 species